rnacentral:rRNA from 1 species
GAUGAACGCUGGCGGCGUGCCUAAUACAUGCAAGUCGAGCGAACGGACGAGAAGCUUGCUUCUCUGAUGUUAGCGGCGGACGGGUGAGUAACACGUGGAUAACCUACCUAUAAGACUGGGAUAACUUCGGGAAACCGGAGCUAAUACCGGAUAAUAUUUUGAACCGCAUGGUUCAAAAGUGAAAGACGGUCUUGCUGUCACUUAUAGAUGGAUCCGCGCUGCAUUAGCUAGUUGGUAAGGUAACGGCUUACCAAGGCAACGAUGGAUAGCCGACCUGAGAGGGUGAUCGGCCACCCUGGAACUGAGACACGGUCCAGACUCCUACGGGAGGCAGCAGUAGGGAAUCUUCCGCGAUGGGCGAAAGCCUGACGGAGCAACGCCGCGUGAGUGAUGAAGGUCUUCGGAUCGUAAAACUCUGUUAUUAGGGAAGAACAUAUGUGUAAGUACCUGUGCACAUCUUGACGGUACCUAAUCAGAAAGCCACGGCUAACUACGUG